UACGUAGGGGGCAAGCGUUGUCCGGAAUCAUUGGGCGUAAAGCGCGUGUAGGCGGUCCGGUAAGUCGGCUGUGAAAGUCCAGGGCUCAACCCUGGGAUGCCGGUCGAUACUGCCGGACUAGAGUUCGGAAGAGGCGAGUGGAAUUCCCGGUGUAGCGGUGAAAUGCGCAGAUAUCGGGAGGAACACCUAUGGCGAAGGCAGCUCGCUGGGACGUUACUGACGCUGAGACGCGAAAGCGUGGGUAGCAAACAGG
rnacentral:rRNA from 1 species